rnacentral:lncRNA from 1 species
CCUCGGUGUUGAGAGCGGCUGGGAGAUCAGGCCGCAUGCCACCGGCCUCCGCCUCCCUUCCCCCCGCCCUGUGCCCCUUCCCCGCGCCCCCUCCGCCGCAGAGCAGAACGGAAAGGGGUUUCCUGCGUUUUUGCAGAGAUGUGGGCCCCUUUCUCUCAUUUCCUCAUCCCCAACAGGCGAGGAAACAGGUUCUCAAGGAGAGGCUAUUUACUUGCCCAGCAUCACGCUGCUGGGGGUCGAGGGACAGAGAGGAGCCUGAAAUGAAGGUUGGAGGAAAAUUAACGAGUUUGUCCAGCCAAGAACAACCGGGGGCAGUUCUUUUAUUAUCAAGCUUCUAUGUGUUUCAAGAUCUAGCACCAGAACCUGGGGAGGUCACAAGAUGCCAGUAGGUGUGGUUGGUACAGAGGUCCAGCUCAGGGAAAUAUAUUUUUUUAAGGGCUGAUAUGAGAUCAUGGAUGAAAAGCACUUUAGAACAAUGCCUGGCACAGGCAUCAUCAUCCCGCCAUGACUGGCAUUGAUUGAACACCUGUCAUACGCCAGAAACUAAACGCAGGGGUGGAUGCCACGGCAGCUAUCAGUCCUUGAACGCUGUGAUGCACCAGCUACACACACGCCACCAAAUCUCUCAUUUACAUCUCACAGCAACCUGACCAGGCUCACCAGAAGGAUGAGCGAGUAAGUUCCACGGGAUGCUCUGGCCUCAUUCUGCUGGGAUCUGAACCCAAGGGCCAGGCUCGUCGUCACAAGGUGAGGCCCAAGUCUCCACCGGCCUGUGAAGUGGGAAUUAUUAUCUCCAUUACAUUGAUUUGAAAGAAAACCCAACAACCUGGGGCCCAGAAAAGGGCAGUGAGUCAGCCUGCAUCACUCUGUUUGAGACGCUGGCCUCUGAGGAUAUCCUGCUUCUCCCUGCUUUUAUCCCGAUGGUCUGAGCCGAGGCUCUAAAGAAACGCACUGGGACUUUGGGACCCGCAGUCCCCACUCAGAGUUCCGGUCCAGUUACUCUGGGCCCACAGCUGAGCUCCAGAUAACUGAGGGUCCAGCCUUUGGCAGGACGCCUGACCUCCAGAUGACUGGGGUCCCAGCAUGGAACAAAGACGGGAGUCAAAGAAGAGGCUGGCACCCCACCCACGGCGGGGCUCCUCAGUGAAACUCGGGGAGGGCAUUUCUCGCCAAGGAGCAGGGCACAGGCUCCUCGUUCCACUUUCAUCCUCUCUUCUUUAUGGCCCAGCACCACUUUGUCAGCUCAAUAUGAUGCUCUUCGUUUUGUAGGAAAGUGACCUCAUAUGGUUUAUCUAAGCAAGGAAGCACUGACUGGUGUCCCAGGCAAAUUGUAUCAACCAGGAUACUUUUUAAAAAUUCUAGCGGGGAAUUGCCAUUGUGGCUCAGUGGUAAUGAACCAGACUAGUAGUAUCCAUGGGUCUGCAGUUUCAAUCCCUGGCUCCCUCAGUGGGUCAAGGAUCCGGCGUUGCCGUGACCUGUCGUGUAGGCCACAGACGCGGCUCGGAUCCCACGUGCUUAUGGCUGUGGUGCAGGCCGGCAGCUGCAGCUCCAGUUUGACUCUAAGCCUGGAAGCUCCAUAGGCCUCAGGUGUGGCCCUUAAAAGAAAAAAAGGAAAUAAAAUAAAAUGAAAUUCCAGUCGAUUUCGGAGGAUAGGUUGUUUUCCCACUUUGGGGAAGAGCCUUUGGAGGUGUGGGCUUCGGCCCUGCCCCCUGCCAGGCAGAGAGAGGGCAUUGGGGGGGAGCUGGCUGCAGCUUCUAAUUCUCCCUCCCUGAGAUGAAUUCCCUUUCAGUGGCCACCACGGAACAAUGACAGCUUAGUUCCUCUUGUCAGUCCUCCCUUUGCAUACUCACCUUUUUCCCCCCAAGAGCCAAGGAAAGAGGAAUUGGCUGCCUGAUUGAUGUCUGAAGGCCGAGGCGAAGUGAAAAUGGGAGCAGCCCUGAGGAGGGGGGUGACUCAUUCCCUGACCAAGGGACAAGGCCAGCCAGGGCAGAGGGGACCUUGGGAAGACCUGGGCUUUUGUUCCCUCUGGGAGCAAAAUGAAUCACCGAUCCCACCUAAGUCACACUGGCCAGUCCCAAACUUUCCCGGGUAGAACCAGUGAGAGCCUCCAAGAUGAGUCAGGUGGGGCCCUAUCAAUGGGCACAAAGGCCAAGGCCGUGCUCUUCCUUAUUCUUCACGUUCACCUUGGCCCUUGAAAGAGGCUGGACAGGACUUGGUAAUCCUUGGGGCACAUCGGAAUCUGGCUCCAGAAAAGGAAGGUCGGCCACAAUGCCUCCAGGGAGACCGGCCAGCAAGGUGGUGACCACCUGCUCUGGGCUGGCUGUCUGGACAUCGUGCAGGUCUGCUCACUUGUUCGCUGACUCGGGCAGGAGCAUUGACUGGACGUCCCGCAGGUGCAGGGCAUUCUGCAGGCUCUCCUUGCUCCAGACCCCGCAGAGUGUGAUACUCGUGCACAGAUGGGGAAACUGAGGCCCUCAGCAAGGAGCCCACCCCAGAGCCGUCUGACUCUGGACCUUGCUUCUUCUGAUCCUGUGUCUCCGGAGACCUGGUCUUCCUCAGUGGGCCACGAAUGUCUGUUUCACAUGUCACCACCUGAGUUGAUCCAGAAGAGCCUAGAAAGCCCAAGCCUUUUCUCCACGAAGCAGCCUGGGUUAUUUUCAGAGGAGGAGCCUGCCCCAAGGAGCAGCAGAACUCCAGGCUUGUCCUCUGGGGCCUCAGCAUUCCAGAGACCAGAUGUGCGAGCCUGACGUCACUCACCGAGUCGUGGCCCCACUCCAGGCUGCGCUCCACUGGCUUGUGACCCCGGCUCCUCCACGAUCUCCUCCUCCCUUUCCUCAGCUUGAAAGAGACGGAGUGGUGCUGGCAGCUGCUUCUCAGCAUCUGGCGGAACAUUCUGCCCCAUCGCUGAGGGCCUCUCACUCCCCAGCCAUCCCUGGGGAUGGCCGAUGACUCAUAUUUCCAUUUACAGUGUGGGGCCAGGCCCCAGAUCUUUCCAUGACCACCAGGACGGGCCAUAUGGCGUUGGUUUAAGGACAUGAGCAUGUCAUCAGACAGGCCUGAGUUCAAGUCCUCCUCCUGCUGUUUGAUGGCUGUGUGAUUUCAGAGAGUGGACUUACCCUCUCCGAGCCUCUUUCCCCUUAUGUAAAUGCAAACUAUGGCUAACAGCUCUGAUAUUUUCCUUAUUGAAAAAGCCUCUUGGCUUUUGCUUGCAGCUCUGAAAAAUGAACCACGCCAAUCUAUCUUUCGACUCCUGGCAAUCAACCCGAGCCGUAGCAGUGACAACACCAGAUCCUUAACCCGUUGAGCUCCCAGGUAACCCCAGGUUCGUUUUUUUUUUUUUUUAAUUGAAGUAUAGUUGAUUUACAAUGUUGUGUUUCUUUUUUUAUAUACUCACCAUUCAUAAGCCAAGGAAAGAGGAGGCUGCUAUUUGGUUUUUUGACCUGGAGAUUGGCACCUGCCAUCGGCCUCUAGAUGGAUUGAAUCCUGAGCCAGGGCAGCUGCCGCCCCCAGCGCCCCCUGAAAGCAGCUCAGGGCGGAGGAGUGAGGCGCUCUGUGUUCUGGGAAAAACUGACAGAACAGGUCUUCUGAUAAUUAGAUAUUUUCAGGAAAAGGCUUUAUGAGCCCAGUUCUUGCAUCGCCUUGUAUUUUAGAAGAGCACUAAAAUCCUUCAUGGUGACGUCUGCUCCUCGUGACUAGCAAUGACCUUCGUGCGACUAGCAGCCACCUUCUGUAAAAAUGUGUACAUGGUUGUGUGUACCUCACGCUUCACCAAAAUCGUUUUUUUCCUUUUUUGGCUUUUUAGGGCCACACCUGCGGCCUAUGAAGGUUCCCAGGCUGGGAGUCCAAUCGAAGCUGCAGCUGCUGGUCUACGCCACAGCCACAGCAACUCGGGAUCCCAGCCUAGUCUGUGACCUACACCAUGGCUCAUGGCAACACCAGGUCUUUAAUCCACUGAGCGAGGCCAGAGAUUGAACCCACCUCCCCAUGGAUACUAGUCAGAUUUGUUUCUGUGCCACGAUGGGAACUGCCCACCACAAUCACUUAUAUGCUGACCUUCCCCUCUGCGUUUUUGGAGCGGUUUUCUGAGAACUACCCAAAAUGCUGCCUCCUGGGCUAUAGUCCCCAUUUUGCCCCAAAUAAAACUUAACUCU